AUGCCAAUGGAGUCACCACGCCUCCAAAUGGAAAGGGACAAGUCAUGUCAAGAUAACAGCACUGUGAUAAGUAUUUCCUCCGGCGGGUCAUCAGAAGAUGAUGUCUCCUCUGAAGAAGUACGUGAAGUGACUGGUUCCGAAUGCAUUGUCUGGAAGAAGGUACGAUCUUCAUUUCAGAAGGAGCAGUUGAAGGAUCGUUAUAUUACCGCCCACAAGAGUAGACUAACUUCAGCUCAGAAGGAAGUGGUGAAGCAGAAGGUCCAAUCCAUACAACCAGAGAUCCCAUUCUUUGUUGCUGUGAUGCGCAAGUGCAACGUUGUUUUAGAAUUCUUUCUGGUUUUCCCAAAACGAUAUGCUAAGGCAUAUCUUAAAUAG
rnacentral:rRNA from 1 species